rnacentral:lncRNA from 1 species
GACGCGCGGGAGUUAAGUGGUAGAUCACAUGUGGGCAUGGUGCUUAGAUGUUAUUUACCUGCAAAUGUAUCCUAUUGGCCAGGUCGUGUGGUAGUUGUUGAUACUAGCUAACACCACUUAGAUACUAGGUUGUCAUCCCCAGCAUGGUGCCAGAGUGUACGAAGGUAUUUAUAAAUGUAAAGGCUCUCUAGAAAAUAAUCUAUUCUAUCCGCAAGCGCAC